UCAAUAAAAUCAAUCUCUUUCUCCAUAUUGUUCUUUAUAUUCCUUUUGCUAUUAGGCUAGUUUCACAACACGUUAUCAGCACGAAAGUAUUCUGUCCAAAAUCCUAAUUGUUUGAGCCGCCACAGCACCUACUAUGGUUGAAGAUUACUCCAAAGAGAGCCUUUUCUCUUUUUCAAGUUCUGGAGGUGUGCUUGAAACCAAAUAGGGUAAAGAUCUUACUUUUACCUGCAAAAGUUUUUGACUUCUUACAUAGCAGCACCUCUAUUAGUUCUAUGAUUAUUUGACUCCAAAGCUUAUUAAAUGAAUUAAAUAGUUAAUAAUACUAAUAUAUUACGAUGAGAUUUCAUAAUUAGUGAUUGAAAUAAAUAUCUUAUAUGAGAUUUCGAUUAUAAAUAUGUGAUCUAUAUUUUUAUCACCCGACUGUCACAACCGGACACCAUGUGGCGAUCACCAUGUCAUUCAAAAAUAUAUAUCAUAGAUUAUGAGGAAGUAUGUUGAAAAAAAAAAUGAGAUACCUCUAAAUAAAAUUGGAUAAAUAUCAUGAUAUAUGACGAUUAUGAAACUAUUUAAUUUGGUUCGGUGAAACUUUAUAACCUCUUCAAUAAUUUUUUAGUCAAUUGGAUUUGUAAUUUUUUUUUUAAAUAUGUAUCUGAUGAAAUUAUAGUUUCUCUUUAAGUAAUUUUUCUAAAAUAGAAAGUCUAGAAUUAUAUAUCAAUUUUGUUACGAGAUGUAAUUUCGUGUCAAAUAGAGUCAAAAUCAUUUCAUUGUUAUUGGAAAAUUAUUUAUAAAGAUUUUAUUUCCUUUACA
rnacentral:lncRNA from 1 species